GGACUACCCGGGUAUCUAAUCCCGUUCGCUCCCCUAGCUUUCGCAGUUCAGCGUCAGUGUCAGCCCAGCAACCCGCCUUCGCCGCAGGUGUUCCUCUCGAUAUCUACGCAUUUCACCGCUACACCGAGAAUUCCGGUUGCCCCUUCUGCACUCUAGCCCCGCAGUAUCAGUUGACCUUUCCGAGUUAAGCCCGGAGAUUUCACAACUGACUUGCGGUGGCCGCCUACCCGCCCUUUACGCCCAGUAAAUCCGAACAACGCUUGCUCCCCCCGUAUUACCGCGGCUGCUGGCAC
rnacentral:rRNA from 1 species